rnacentral:tRNA from 1 species
UGCCCCGUGGCUAAGUUGGUUACAGCGUCCGACUGUUAUCAAGUGAUGCAGAUCACCUGACGGCUAUCGGAAGGUCAUGAGUUCGAGCCUCAUCGGGGCAG